rnacentral:rRNA from 1 species
UACGAAGGGGGCUAGCGUUGCUCGGAAUCACUGGGCGUAAAGGGUGCGUAGGCGGUUCGUUAUGUCGGAUGUGAAAGCCCUUGGCUUAACCGAGGAAGUGCAUCCGAAACUGGCGAGCUAGAGUACGAAAGAGGAUCGCGGAAUUCCCGGUGUAGAGGUGAAAUUCGUAGAUAUCGGGAGGAACACCGGUGGCGAAGGCGGCGAUCUGGGUCGAUACUGACGCUGAGGUGCGAAAGCGUGGGGAGCAAACAGG